GCCCUCGUAGUUCAAUGGAUAGAACACGAGUUUUCUAAACUUGGGAUAUAGGUUCGAGUCCUAUCGAGGGCA
rnacentral:tRNA from 1 species